rnacentral:rRNA from 1 species
UCAGGACGAACGCUGGCGGCGUGCCUAACACAUGCAAGUCGAACGGGGUAGAUGACUUCGGUUGUCUACUUAGUGGCGAACGGGUGAGUAACGCGUGAGGAACCUGCCUUCCAGUGGGGGACAACAGUUGGAAACGACUGCUAAUACCGCAUAACAUUUCCGGACCGCAUGAUCUGGAAAUCAAAGCUUUAUGUGCUGGAAGAUGGCCUCGCGUCUGAUUAGCUAGUUGGAGGGGUAACGGCCCACCAAGGCGACGAUCAGUAGCCGGUCUGAGAGGAUGAACGGCCACAUUGGGACUGAGAUACGGCCCAGACUCCUACGGGAGGCAGCAGUGGGGAAUAUUGCACAAUGGGGGAAACCCUGAUGCAGCGAUGCCGCGUGGAGGAAGAAGGUUUUCGGAUUGUAAACUCCUGUCUUAAAGGACGAUAAUGACGGUACUUUAGGAGGAAGCUCCGGCUAACUACGUGCCAGCAGCCGCGGUAAUACGUAGGGAGCGAGCGUUGUCCGGAAUUACUGGGUGUAAAGGGAGCGUAGGCGGGAUGGUAAGUUAGAUGUGAAAUGCAGGGGCUCAACCCCUGAGCUGCAUUUAAAACUGCUGUUCUUGAGUGAAGUAGAGGUAAGCGGAAUUCCUGGUGUAGCGGUGAAAUGCGUAGAUAUCAGGAGGAACAUCGGUGGCGAAGGCGGCUUACUGGGCUUUUACUGACGCUGAGGCUCGAAAGCGUGGGGAGCAAACAGGAUUAGAUACCCUGGUAGUCCACGCUGUAAACGAUGAUUACUAGGUGUGGGGGGACUGACCCCUUCCGUGCCGCAGUUAACACAAUAAGUAAUCCACCUGGGGAGUACGGCCGCAAGGCUGAAACUCAAAGGAAUUGACGGGGGCCCGCACAAGCAGUGGAUUAUGUGGUUUAAUUCGACGCAACGCGAAGAACCUUACCAGGACUUGACAUCCAACUAACGAAGUAGAGAUACAUUAGGUGCCCUUCGGGGAAAGUUGAGACAGGUGGUGCAUGGUUGUUGUCAGCUCGUGUCGUGAGAUGUUGGGUUAAGUCCCGCAACGAGCGCAACCCCUAUUGUUAGUUGCUACGCAAGAGCACUCUAGCGAGACUGCCGUUGACAAAACGGAGGAAGGCGGGGACGACGUCAAAUCAUCAUGCCCCUUAUGUCCUGGGCUACACACGUAAUACAAUGGUGGUUAACAGAGGGAAGCAAUACAGCGAUGUGGAGCAAAUCCCUAAAAGCCAUCUCAGUUCGGAUUGCAGGCUGCAACUCGCCUGCAUGAAGCUGGAAUUAAUAGUAAUCGCGGAUCAGCAUGCCGCGGUGAAUACGU